ACCAUCACCGCAACCAUGAGCAGGGAGGCCGAGACCCAGCAGCCGCCCGCCACCCGCUGUCAUCCCCUCGCCGCCCCUGCCCUCAGCGCCGCGGACACCAAGCCCGGCACUACAGGCAGCAGCGCAGGGAGCCGUGGCCCGGGCGGUGUCACAUCGGCGGCGCGUGCCGGCAGGGACAAUAAAGUCAUCACAACAAAGGUUUUGGGAAUAGUAAAAUGGUUCAAUGUAAGGAACGGAUAUGGUUUCAUCAACAGGAAUGACACCAAGUAAGAUGUCUUUGUACACCAGACUGCCAUAAAGAAGAAUAACCCCAGGAAGUACCUUGGCAGUGUAGGAGAUGGAGAGACUGUGGAGUUUGAUGUUGUUGAAGGAGAAAAGGGUGCAGAGGCAGCAAAUGAUACAGGUCCUGGUAGUGUUCCAGUUCAAGGCAGUAAAUACACAGCAGACCUUAAACAUUACAGACGCUAUCCAUGGUAGGGGUCCUCCAUGCAAUUACCAGCAAAAUUACCAGAAUAGUGUGUAGGGGGAAAAAAAUGAGGGAUCAGAGAGUGCUCCCGAAGGCCAGGCCCAACAAGGCCGGCCCUACUGCAGGCGAAGGUUCCCACCUUACUACAUGCGGAGACCCUAUGGGCAUCGACCACAAUAUUCCAACCCUCCUGUGCAGAGAGAAGUGAUGGAGGGUGCUGACAACCAGGGUGCAGGAGAACAAGGCAGACCAGUCAGGCAGAAUAUGUAUUGGGGAUAUAGAUCACGAUUCCGCAGGGGCCCUCCUAGCCAAAGACAGUCUAGAGAGGAGGGCAAUGAAGAGGAUAAAGAAAAUCAAGGAGAUGAGACCCAAGGUCAGCAGCCACCUCAACGUCGGUACCGCCGCAACUUCAAUUACCGACACAGACGCCCAGAAAGCCCUAAACUACAAAAUGGCAAAGAGACAAAAGCAGCCAAUCCACCAGCUGAGAAUUGGUCCGCUCCCGACGCUGAGCAGGGCGGGGCUGAGUAAAUGCCAGCUUACCAUCUCUCCCAUCAUCCGGUUUAGUCAUCCAACAAGAAGAAAUAAGGAAUUCCAGUAAUAAGAAAUGAACAAAAGAUUGGAGCUGAAGACCUUAAGUGCUUGCUUUUUGCCUGUUGACCAGAUAAAUAGAACUAUCUGCAUUAUCUAUGCAGCAUGGGGUUUUUAUUAUUUUUACCCAAAGAUGUCUCUUUUUGGUAAUAACCAACGUGUUUUUUAAAAAAGCCUGGUUUUUCUCAAUACGCCUUUAAAGGUUUUCAAAUUGUUUCAUAUCUGGUCAAGUUGAGAUUUUUAAGAACUUCAUUUUUAAUUUGUAAUAAAAGUUUACAACUUGAUUUUUUCAAAAAAGUCAACAAACUGCAAGCACCUGUUAAUAAAGGUCUUAAAUAA